rnacentral:rRNA from 1 species
AUUGAACGCUGGCGGCAUGCCUUACACAUGCAAGUCGAACGGUAACGGGCCUUCGGGUGCCGACGAGUGGCGAACGGGUGAGUAAUACAUCGGAACGUGCCCGAUCGUGGGGGAUAACGAGGCGAAAGCUUUGCUAAUACCGCAUACGAACUACGGAUGAAAGCAGGGGACCGCAAGGCCUUGCGCGGACGGAGCGGCCGAUGGCAGAUUAGGUAGUUGGUGGGAUAAAAGCUUACCAAGGCGACGAUCUGUAGCUGGUCUGAGAGGAUGAGCAGCCACACUGGGACUGAGACACGGCCCAGACUCCUACGGGAGGCAGCAGUGGGGAAUUUUGGACAAUGGGCGCAAGCCUGAUCCAGCCAUGCCGCGUGGAGGAUGAAGGCCUUCGGGUUGUAAACUGCUUUUGUACGGAACGAAAAGCCUUCUUUUAAUACAGGAGUGUCAUGACGGUACCGUAAGAAUAAGCACCGGCUAACUACGUG